rnacentral:rRNA from 1 species
UACAGAGGUCUCAAGCGUUGUUCGGAUUCAUUGGGCGUAAAGGGUGCGUAGGAGGACAGGUAAGUCAGUGGUGAAAUCUCCGAGCUUAACUUGGAAACUGCCGUUGAUACUAUCUGCCUUGAAUAUUGUGGAGGUGAGCGGAAUAUGUCAUGUAGCGGUGAAAUGCUUAGAUAUGACAUAGAACACCAAUUGCGAAGGCAGCUCGCUACACAUAUAUUGACUCUGAGGCACGAAAGCGUGGGGAUCAAACAGGA